ACACUGUGAGAAACCCCUGUGUAAGGUAGAAGAUGGGCAGUGGUGCCAUUUGCUGGUUUAAUUUACGUGAUGUUGGUUCUCAGGCUCCUGAGGACAGAUGGUAUGAGGCAGAGAAAGUCUGGCUGGCUCAGAAGGACGGAUUUACUCUUGCUACGGUGCUAAAGCCAGAUGAGGGAACAGCAGACCUGCCAGCAGGAAGGGUGAGACUUUGCAUUGAUGCUGACAAAACCAUCACUGAGGUGGAUGAGGAGCAUGUCCAUCGGGGCAACCCCCCUGAGCUGGACCAGGUCGAGGACCUGGCCUCUCUCAUCAGUGUCAACGAAUCCAGUGUCCUGAAUACGCUUCUGCAGCGCUACAGGGCUCAGCUGCCGCACACCUGCGUGGGGCCUGAUCUGAUCGUCCUCCAGCCCCGGGGGCCCUUGAUGCCUUCUGCAGGGAAGGUGCCCAAGGGCCGCCGGGAUGGCCUGCCUGCCCACAUUGGCUCCAUAGCACAGCGGGCAUACUGGGCGCUGCUGAAUCAGCGGAGAGACCAGAGCAUUGUGGCCCUGGGCCGGAGUGGUGCUGGGAAGACCACCUGCUGUGAGCAGGUCCUGGAACACCUGGUGGGGAUGGCAGGCAGUGUGGAUGGCAGGGUCUCAGUGGAGAAGAUCCGAGCCACCUUUACUGUCCUCCGGGCCUUCGGCUCUGUGUCCGUGGCCCAUAGCCGCAGCGCCACCCGGUUCUCCAUGGUGAUGUCGCUGGACUUCAACGCUACAGGCCGCAUCACGGCUGCUCAGCUCCAGACAAUGCUUUUGGAGAAGAGCCGCGUGGCACGGCAGCUGGAAGGGGAAAGUAACUUCCAGGUUUUCUCCCAGAUGCUGGCUGGAUUGGACUUGGAUCUCAGGACGGAGCUGAACCUGCACCAGAUGGCAGAUAGCAGCUCCUUUGGCAUGGGCAUGUGGUCCAAGCCUGAAGAUAAACAGAAGGCGGCAGCUGCCUUUGCCCAGCUCCAGGGUGCCAUGGAGACGCUGGGCAUCUCAGAGAGUGAGCAGCGGGCCGUUUGGCGGGUCCUGGCAGCCAUCUACCACCUGGGCGCGGCGGGGGCCUGCAAAGUGGGUCGGAAGCAGUUCAUGAGGUUUGAGUGGGCAAACUAUGCAGCUGAGGCCCUGGGCUGCGAGUAUGAGGAGCUGAACACGGCCACCUUCAAGCACCACCUUCGACAGAUCAUCCAGCAAAUGACGUUUGGGCCAACCCGAUGGGGCCUCGAGGAUGAGGAAACCAGCUCAGGGCUUAAGAUGACAGGAGUGGAGUGUGUGGAGGGGAUGGCCUCGGGCCUGUACCAGGAGCUCUUUGCGGCUGUGGUCUCACUGAUCAACAGAUCCUUCUCCUCCCAGCACCUCUCCAUGGCCUCCAUCAUGGUGGUGGAUUCUCCAGGCUUCCAGAACCCCCGGCACCAGGGCAAGGACCGGGCGGCCACCUUUGAGGAGCUGUGCCACAACUACACCCAUGAGCGCCUGCAGCUGCUGUUCUACCAGCGGACCUUUGUCUCCACGCUGCAGCGAUAUCAAGAGGAAGGUGUUCCUGUGCAGUUUGACCUCCCGGACCCCUCCCCAGGGACCACCGUGGCUGUUGUGGAUCAAAAUCCCUCUCAGGUCCGCUUACCAGCUGGAGGAGGUGCCCAGGAUGCCAAAGGCCUUUUCUGGGUCUUGGAUGAAGAAGUCCGUGUAGAGGGCUCCAGUGACAGUGUGGUGCUCGAGCGUCUGUGUGCUGCUUUCGAGAAGAAAGGAGCUGGGACUGAAGAGUCCUCUGCCCUGCGGACCUGUGAGCAGCCCCUCCAGUGUGAGAUUUUCCACCAGUUGGGAUGGGACCCUGUGCGGUACGACCUCACGGGCUGGCUCCACAGAGCCAAGCCCAACCUCUCAGCCCUGGAUGCACCCCAGGUCCUGCAACAGUCAAAAAGAGAGGAGCUGCGGAGUCUAUUCCAGGCCCGGGCCAAGCUGCCUCCUGUGUGCCGGGCUGUGGCAGGCCUGGAGGGCACCUCCCAGCAGGCCCUGCAGAGGAGCCGCAUGGUGAGGAGGACCUUUGCCAGCAGCCUUGCCGCGAUAAGGAGGAAAGCCCCGUGCUCCCAGAUCAAGCUGCAGAUGGAUGCGCUGACCAGCAUGAUCAAAAGGUCCCGGCUGCACUUUAUCCACUGCCUGGUACCGAACUCUGUGGUGGAAAGCAGGAGUGGGCAGGAAUCUCCAACACCACCACAGCCUGGUAGAGACAAGCCUGGGGCAGGUGGACCUCUGGCCCUGGAUAUCCCAGCACUGAGGGUCCAGCUUGCUGGGUUCCACAUCCUGGAGGCUCUGCGUCUGCACAGGACAGGCUAUGCUGACCACAUGGGGCUCACUCACUUCCGCCGGCAAUUCCAGGUGCUGGACCCUCCACUCCUGAAGAAGCUCAUGUCGACCUCCGAGGGAAUAGAUGAAAGGAAGGCCGUGGAGGAGCUCCUGGAGACCCUGGAUCUGGAAAAGAAGGCAGUGGCUGUGGGGCACAGCCAAGUUUUUCUCAAGGCAGGUGUGAUCUCCAGGCUUGAGAAGCAGCGAGAGAAGCUGGUAUCUCAGAGCAUCGUUCUCUUCCAGGCGGCUUGCAAGGGCUUUCUGUCUCGCCAGGAAUUCAAGAAGCUGAAGAUUCGCCGACUGGCUGCACGGUGCAUCCAGAAGAAUGUGGCUGUGUUCCUCGCAGUGAAGGACUGGCCAUGGUGGCAGCUCCUUGGUUCCCUCCAGCCCCUACUUAGUGCCACCAUUGGAAAUGAGCAGCUCCGAGCCAAGGAGGAGGAGCUUACAACGCUAAGACGGAAGCUAGAAAAAUCAGAGAAGUUGCGGAAUGAACUCCGGCAGAACACAGAUCUGCUAGAAAGCAAGAUUGCUGACUUGACCACUGAGCUUGCCGAUGAGCGCUUCAAAGGUGAUGUGGCCUGCCAGGUGCUGGAGAGUGAGCGGGCAGAGCGGCUACAGGCCUUCCGGGAGGUCCAGGAGCUCAAGAGCAAGCAUGAACAAGUCCAGAAAAAAUUGGGAGAUGUGAAUAAACAGUUGGAAGAAGCCCAGCAGAAAAUUCAUUUGAAUGACUUGGAAAGGAAUCCCACUGGAGGAGCAGACGAGUGGCAAAUGCGCUUCGACUGUGCUCAGAUGGAGAACGAGUUCCUCAGAAAGCGUCUGCAGCAAUGCGAGGAGAGGCUGGACUCGGAACUGACAGCCAGGAAAGAGCUGGAGCAAAAGCUCGGGGAGCUGCAAAGUGCUUAUGACGGGGCCAAGAAGAUGGCUCACCAACUGAAGAGGAAGUGCCACCAUCUUACCUGUGACCUUGAGGACACCCGCGUCCUGCUAGAGAACCAACAAAGUCGAAACCAUGAGCUGGAGAAGAAGCAGAAGAAGUUUGACCUCCAGCUGGCCCAGGCCCUAGGUGAGUCUGUGUUUGAGAAGGGUCUCCGUGAGAAAGUGACCCAGGAGAACACCAGUGUCCGGUGGGAGCUAGGCCAGCUUCAGCAGCAGUUGAAGCAAAAGGAGCAGGAAGCCUCACAGCUGAAGCAGCAGGUGGAGAUGCUACAGGACCAUAAACGGGAGCUGCUGGGGUCACCCUCUCUGGGGGAAAAUUGCGUUGCUGGCUUGAAGGAGAGGCUGUGGAAGUUGGAAUCCAGCGCCCUUGAGCAACAGAAAAUCCAGAGCCAGCAGGAAAACACCAUCAAGCAGCUGGAGCAGCUCCGCCAGCGGUUUGAGCUGGAGAUCGAGCGGAUGAAGCAGAUGCACCAGAAGGACCGUGAGGACCAGGAGGAGGAACUGGAGGAUGUCCGUCAGUCCUGCCAGAAGCGGCUUCGUCAGCUGGAAAUGCAGCUGGAGCAAGAAUAUGAAGAGAAGCAGAUGGUCCUUCAUGAGAAGCAAGAUUUGGAAGGCUUGAUUGGAACCCUCUGUGACCAGAUUGGCCAUCGGGACUUUGAUGUGGAGAAGCGACUUCGGAGAGACCUCAGGAGGACACAUGCACUGUUGUCAGACGUGCAGCUCCUUCUGGGCACCAUGGAGGAUGGCAAGACAUCAGUCAGCAAGGAGGAGCUGGAGAAAGUGCACAGCCAGCUGGAGCAGAGUGAAGCCAAGUGUGAGGAGGCCUUGAAGACCCAGAAGGUGCUCACAGCGGACCUGGAGAGCAUGCACAGCGAGCUGGAGAACAUGACGCGGAACAAGAGCCUGGUGGAUGAGCAGCUGUACAGGCUGCAGUUUGAGAAGGCAGACCUCCUGAAGCGCAUCGAUGAGGACCAGGAUGACCUGAAUGAGCUGAUGCAGAAGCACAAGGACCUCAUUGCUCAGUCUGCUGCUGACAUUGGGCAGAUCCAAGAACUGCAGCUGCAGCUGGAGGAAGCCAAGAAGGAGAAGCACAAGCUACAAGAACAACUGCAGGUGGCUCAGAUGCGCAUCGAGUACCUGGAGCAGUCCACUGUGGAUCGAGCCAUCGUCAGCAGGCAGGAGGCGGUCAUCUGUGACCUGGAGAACAAGACAGAGUUCCAGAAGGUGCAGAUUAAGAGAUUUGAGGUCCUGGUGAUCCGGCUUCGGGACAGCCUGAUCAAGAUGGGGGAGGAGCUUUCACAGGCGGCCACCUCCGAGUCCCAGCAGCGGGAGAGCAGCCAGUACUACCAGCGGCGCCUGGAGGAGCUGAAGGCCGACAUGGAAGAGCUGGUGCAGCGGGAGGCGGAGGCCAGCCGGCGGUGUAUGGAGCUGGAGAAGUACGUGGAGGAACUUGCCGCAGUGAGGCAAACCCUCCAGACAGACCUGGAGACAUCCAUUCGGCGGAUUGCCGACCUGCAGGCUGCCUUGGAAGAAGUGGCAUCCAGUGACAGUGAUACUGAGAGUGUCCAGACGGCAGUGGAUUGUGGCAGCAGUGGCAGAAAAGAGAUGGAUAACGUCUCCAUCCUCAGCUCCCAGCCAGAGGGCAGCCUGCAGUCCUGGUUGAGCUGUACUCUGUCCCUGGCCACAGACACUACGAGGACUCCUUCUCGACAGUCAGCCACCAGCAGCCGCAUCCUCAGCCCCAGGAUAAACGAGGAGGCUGGGGACACUGAGAGGACCCAGUCGGCACUGGCACUGAGCAGAGCCCGGUCCACCGAUGUCCGCAGCAAGACCUCGGGAGACAAGCCUGUUUCUCCCCACUUUGUCCGCCGGCAAAAGUACUGUCAUUUUGGGGACGGCGAAGGGCUUGCCGUCCAGAGAAAGUCCACAGAGAGAUUAGAAGCUGCUGCCUCUCCCCUGGCUUCUCGGAGUACAAACACAUCCCCGCUGUCGAGGGAAAAGCUGCCCAGUCCUUCAGCGGCCCUCUCAGAGUUCGUGGAAGGGCUCCGGAGGAAGAGAGCCCAGAGAGGCCAGGGGUCCACGCUGGGCCUGGAGGACUGGCCCACUCUCCCCAUUUACCAGACGACUGGGGCUUCCACACUAAGGAGGGGCAGGGCUGGCAGUGACGAGGGAAACCUCUCGCUGAGGGUUGGGGCAAAGUCACCCCUGGAAAUCGAAGGGGCCGCUGGUGGUCUCUUGAGGUCCACCAGCCUCAAAUGCAUCUCUUCAGACGGUGCUGGGGGCACAACCCUACUCCCCGAAAAGGCGAAGACCCGAUUCAGUUCCUGCGAGUCCCUCUUAGAAUCCAGAUCGAGCAUGGGGAGAAAACUGAGCUCUCCGACCACACCCAGGGACAUGCUGUUGUCGCCCACACUGCGUCCUCGGAGGCGGUGUCUGGAGUCCUCUGUGGAUGAUGUGGGCUGUCCAGACCUUGGAAAGGAGCCGCUUGUUUUCCAGAACCGCCAGUUCGCCCACCUGAUGGAGGAACCUCUAGGCAGUGACCCGUUCAGCUGGAAACUCCCAAGCCUCGACUACGAACGCAAGACCAAAGUGGACUUCGAUGACUUCCUCCCAGCUAUCCGGAAGCCCCAGACGCCUACAUCCUUGGCCAGAGCAGCCAAAGGUGGGCAAGACCGUUCACAGCGUUCAAGCAUCCACUUUGAGACGGAAGAGGCUGACCGUUCCUUUCUCUCGGGGAUCAAGACCAUUUUGAAGAAGAGCCCGGAGCCCAAGGAGGAUCCUGCUCACCUGUCCGACUCGUCCUCAUCCUCCAGCUCCAUCGUGUCCUUCAAAAGUGCUGACAGCAUCAAAAGUCGACCAGGAAUCCCACGACUUGCGGGUGACGGUGGUGAGCAAAUGUCCCCUGAGCACAGAGAGCCAGAGACGGGGAGGAAAGACGACGAUGUUGCGAGCAUAAUGAAAAAAUAUCUCCAGAAGUAGGAGCCAGUUCAGGUAAAAGCAACAGGCUGGGACUAUUCUUGGGGAAUGAGAGUUCACCUUGUAGCCUUGGGGAGGGCAGGUGUCACU
rnacentral:sRNA from 1 species